rnacentral:rRNA from 1 species
AGGUUACUUCGGUAACUGACCUAGCGGCGGACGGGUGAGUAAUGCUUAGGAAUCUGCCUAUUAGUGGGGGACAACAUUCCGAAAGGAAUGCUAAUACCGCAUACGUCCUACGGGGGAAAGCAGGGGAUCUUCGGACCUUGCGCUAAUAGAUGAGCCUAAGUCGGAUUAGCUAGUUGGUGGGGUAAAGGCCUACCAAGGCGACGAUCUGUAGCGGGUCUGAGAGGAUGAUCCGCCACACUGGGACUGAGACACGGCCCAGACUCCUACGGGAGGCAGCAGUGGGGAAUAUUGGACAAUGGGCGGAAGCCUGAUCCAGCCAUGCCGCGUGUGUGAAGAAGGCCUUUUGGUUGUAAAGCACUUUAAGCGAGGAGGAGGCUCCUUUAGUUAAUACCUAAAGAGAGUGGACGUUACUCGCAGAAUAAGCACCGGCUAACUCUGUGCCAGCAGCCGCGGUAAUACAGAGGGUGCGAGCGUUAAUCGGAUUUACUGGGCGUAAAGCGUGCGUAGGCGGCUUUUUAAGUCGGAUGUGAAAUCCCUGAGCUUAACUUAGGAAUUGCAUUCGAUACUGGAAAGCUAGAGUAUGGGAGAGGAUGGUAGAAUUCCAGGUGUAGCGGUGAAAUGCGUAGAGAUCUGGAGGAAUACCGAUGGCGAAGGCAGCCAUCUGGCCUAAUACUGACGCUGAGGUACGAAAGCAUGGGGAGCAAACAGGAUUAGAUACCCUGGUAGUCCAUGCCGUAAACGAUGUCUACUAGCCGUUGGGGCCUUUGAGGCUUUAGUGGCGCAGCU